GCCGUAUUAGCUCAGUCUGGUUAGAGCAUCCGCCUGAUACGCGGGGGGUCCUAGGUUCAAAUCCUGGAUACGGUA
rnacentral:tRNA from 1 species